CUUUCAUCUGCAAAUAAAAGAAAACAAAAAUUCUUCCUUCUUCUGCAUACAAAUUGCCGUCCCACUAAGUAUAUAUAUAAAAAAGAAUUCUCUCAUUCUUAUUUAAACACUCCUCAAAGAUUUAAGUGAUCCUGCAUGUCUAGUGAUGGGUGAUAGAAGAGGAGCCCAUGAGCAAUUGAAGGUUUAGAGGAACUGGGUAGAAAUAAGCAUUUACGGAAAUCCUUGAAGUUGAAGAGAGCGCUAGCUAGUAGAAUGUAGUAGGUGGAGAAUAUGUAAUAAGUUCUUCGGGGCUUAGUUUAUUUUAGAAUUUAUAUUUGAUGUUGUUCAUUAUGGAUUGUUUAGCCUUACAUUAGUCUUGUGAUGACUAGUGUGGCGGUACCACCCUCAUUAGGUGUUUUUGACAGGGUAAUUGGGUACCCGACCCGGAACCAUUGGCAGGACCCAAAACAUUGUCAAGACUGUCGUUCAAACUACCCAAGACACCUCACUCCUCAGCAUCAAUGCUCAACGGAUCAACUCCUCAGCAUUGAUGCCUAACGUUCAGCUCCUCAACAUUGAUGCCUAACGUUCAGCUCCUCAGCAUUGAUGCCCAACGUUCAGCUCCUCAGCAUUAAUGCUCCAUUACUGAGUUGAAGGAAAUAAAAAGACUCACAAUGCAAAGUAGAGACACGAUACUUGAACUUAGACAAAACACAUAUUGAACUCAUUGUACAUUGAGCACUGCACUCAAACGUUGUACUAUCAUAACAUUCAAAUAAUAUAUCCGGUAACACAUUAUUACCGUCA